UGAUAAAACCUCUUUCUCCGGGGAAUAAGCCCAAAUUCGGCUACACUCGCGACAAGAGUGCUCGGCCAUCCUCUUUUCCGCCGCGCCACUAGAUUGGGCCCAUCGCGAGUGCUUUCCGGAAUAAUCGGAGUCUAAUGUGGUAUGGCCAGGCCGGCUUGGAAGUACUGACAUGAGGGACGGACACGGCGGGGGCUGCGACGUACUUCGCAGCGUGACGACCCAGCGAUCUAGGACCCGGAAUUUAUUCGCAGCAGCAAUGUACAUGGGCGAUGACUGCGAGUGUGACUUCUGGGGAAAAGUUCCAUACCCCUUAUGAGACUUGUUUCAGAGAUUUUGAUUUGUCUCUGGAGGAACGCUGGCGCGGUGCUUUACACACACACAUGUCACGAGAAACCUCAUUCGGGAGGGGAUUAGUGGCGAACGGGUGAGUAACACGUGGGCAAUCUGCCCUGCACUCUGGGACAAGCCCUGGAAACGGGGUCUAAUACCGGAUACUGAUCAUCUUGGGCAUCCUUGGUGAUCGAAAGCUCCGGCGGUGCAGGAUGAGCCCGCGGCCUAUCAGCUUGUUGGUGAGGUAACGGCUCACCAAGGCGACGACGGGUAGCCGGCCUGAGAGGGCGACCGGCCACACUGGGACUGAGACACGGCCCAGACUCCUACGGGAGGCAGCAGUGGGGAAUAUUGCACAAUGGGCGCAAGCCUGAUGCAGCGACGCCGCGUGAGGGAUGACGGCCUUCGGGUUGUAAACCUCUUUCAGCAGGGAAGAAGCGCAAGUGACGGUACCUGCAGAAGAAGCGCCGGCUAACUACGUGCCAGCAGCCGCGGUAAUACGUAGGGCGCGAGCGUUGUCCGGAAUUAUUGGGCGUAAAGAGCUCGUAGGCGGCUUGUCGCGUCGGUUGUGAAAGCCCGGGGCUUAACCCCGGGUCUGCAGUCGAUACGGGCAGGCUAGAGUUCGGUAGGGGAGAUCGGAAUUCCUGGUGUAGCGGUGAAAUGCGCAGAUAUCAGGAGGAACACCGGUGGCGAAGGCGGAUCUCUGGGCCGAUACUGACGCUGAGAGCGAUAGAUUAAAG
rnacentral:rRNA from 1 species